rnacentral:lncRNA from 1 species
GAUUCCCCAGCAGAAGACGCGCUCGGGAAGUGCCUCAGCGCUCACCGCCGAACGCUGCGAGGAGAGGGGAACAGCUGGGGGCGGCGGCGAACAUCGAGGGGGAUCGGAGGGUGGGAAAAUGCGUGCCCUUUGACCCAGUUGAGGGGUGCAGCUGCAAGAUUCCGGAUGAGACAAAUACAGUCUUAAACCCAUCCUCUUCAGCUGUGAAAUUCAUCAAAGUGUGCUGAUUAACUACAAUUUAAGUCUAGCAGCAAGUCGGAAGGAGGCCUGAUCCUCGCUCUAAGAAGGGGAGCUUGGGGGCCACAGGUAAGGCCCCGCCCCCUUCGCCCGCACCUGGAGGAAGGUACCGGGGGCUGAGCUCCGGCGCCCACCGG